GCCUCUUUAGCUCUGUUGAUCAGAGCACAUGAUUUGUAAUCUCGGGGUCGUUGGUUCGAAUCCGACAAGAGGCUC
rnacentral:tRNA from 1 species